rnacentral:rRNA from 1 species
UACGUAGGGUGCGAGCGUUGUCCGGAAUUAUUGGGCGUAAAGGGCUCGUAGGCGGUCUGUUACGUCGGGGGUGAAAACUCGGGGCUCAACCCCGAGCCUGCUUCCGAUACGGGCAGACUAGAGGUAUGCAGGGGAGAAUGGAAUUCCUGGUGUAGCGGUGAAAUGCGCAGAUAUCAGGAGGAACACCGGUGGCGAAGGCGGUUCUCUGGGCAUUACCUGACGCUGAGGAGCGAAAGCGUGGGGAGCGAACAGG